GAUGAACGCUGACAGAAUGCUUAACACAUGCAAGUCAACUUGAACUUCGGUUUGGGUGGCGGACGGGUGAGUAACGCGUGAAGAACUUGCCUCACAGUUAGGGACAACAUUUGGAAACGAAUGCUAAUACCUGAUAUUAUGAUUUUAGGGCAUCCUAGAAUUAUGAAAGCUAUAUGCGCUGUGAGAGAGCUUUGCGUCCCAUUAGCUAGUUGGAGAGGUAACGGCUCACCAAGGCGAUGAUGGGUAGCCGGCCUGAGGGGGUGAACGGCCACAAGGGGACUGAGACACGGCCCUUACUCCUACGGGAGGCAGCAGUGGGGAAUAUUGGACAAUGGACCAAGAGUCUGAUCCAGCAAUUCUGUGUGCACGAUGAAGUUUUUCGGAAUGUAAAGUGCUUUCAGUUGGGAAGAAAAAAAUGACGGUACCAACAGAAGAAGUGACGGCUAAAUACGUGCCAGCAGCCGCGGUAAUACGUAUGUCACAAGCGUUAUCCGGAUUUAUUGGGCGUAAAGCGCGUCUAGGUGGUUAUAUAAGUCUGAUGUGAAAAUGCAGGGCUCAACUCUGUAUUGCGUUGGAAACUGUGUAACUAGAGUACUGGAGAGGUAAGCGGAACUACGAGUGUAGAGGUGAAAUUCGUAGAUAUUUGUAGGAAUGCCGAUGGGGAAGCCAGCUUACUGGACAGAUACUGACGCUAAAGCGCGAAAGCGUGGGUAGCAAACAGG
rnacentral:rRNA from 1 species